CGGCAGGCUUAACACAUGCAAGUCGAGGGGCAGCACGGGUAGCAAUACCUGGUGGCGACCGGCGCAAGGGUGCGUAACGCGUGAGCAACAUGCCCUAUACAGGGGGAUAAUCCAGGGAAACUUGGUCUAAUAUCCCAUAGUAUUUAGAGAAGGCAUCUUCUAUAAAUUAAAGCUUCGGUGGUAUAGGAUUGGCUCGCGUGACAUUAGCUAGAUGGUGAGGUAACGGCUCACCAUGGCAAUGAUGUCUAGGGGUUCUGAGAGGAAGGCCCCCCACACUGGGACUGAGACACGGCCCAGACUCCUACGGGAGGCAGCAGUGAGGAAUAUUGGACAAUGGAUGGAAAUCUGAUCCAGCCAUGCCGCGUGCAGGAAGACAGCCCUAUGGGUUGUAAACUGCUUUUAUAUGGGAGCAAUAAGGUCUACGUGUAGACUGAUGAGAGUACCAUAUGAAUAAGCAUCGGCUAACUCCGUG
rnacentral:rRNA from 1 species